rnacentral:rRNA from 1 species
GAUGAACGCUGGCGGCGUGCCUAAUACAUGCAAGUCGAGCGAACGGACGAGAAGCUUGCUUUUCUGAUAUUAGCGGCGGACGGGUGAGUAACACGUGGAUAACCUACCUAUAAGACUGGGAUAACUUCGGGAAACCGGAGCUAAUACCGGAUAAUAUUUUGAACCGCAUGGUUCAAAAGUGAAAGACGGUCUUGCUGUCACUUAUAGAUGGAUCCGCGCUGCAUUAGCUAGUUGGUAAGGUAACGGCUUACCAAGGCAACGAUGCAUAGCCGACCUGAGAGGGUGAUCGGCCACACUGGAACUGAGACACGGUCCAGACUCCUACGGGAGGCAGCAGUAGGGAAUCUUCCGCAAUGGGCGAAAGCCUGACGGAGCAACGCCGCGUGAGUGAUGAAGGUCUUCGGAUCGUAAAACUCUGUUAUUAGGGAAGAACAUAUGUGUAAGUAACUGUGCACAUCUUGACGGUACCUAAUCAGAAAGCCACGGCUAACUACGU